rnacentral:rRNA from 1 species
UACGUAGGGGGCAAGCGUUGUCCGGAUUUAUUGGGCGUAAAGAGCGUGUAGGCGGCUAUGCAGGUCCGCUGUGAAAACUCGAGGCUCAACCUCGAGACGUCGGUGGAAACCGCAUGGCUAGAGUCCGGAAGAGGAGAGUGGAAUUCCCGGUGUAGCGGUGAAAUGCGCAGAUAUCGGGAAGAACACCCGUGGCGAAGGCGGCUCUCUGGGACGGUACUGACGCUGAGACGCGAAAGCGAGGGGAGCAAACAGG